rnacentral:rRNA from 1 species
GGUCUUUUGAAGAAACAUAAGAGAUUUGACCUGCCCAAUGAAAUAAUUUAAAUGGCCGCGGUAUUAUGACCGUGCGAAGGUAGCAUAAUCAUUAGUCUUUUAAUUGUAGACUGGAAUGAACGGUUGGACGUAAUAAUGUCUUUUUUAUUCUUAUAUAUUGAAUUUUACUUUUUGGUGAAGAGGCUAAAAUGAAGCCAAAAGACAAGAAGACCCUAUCAAGUUUUAUUACCAAGUACUGGAAAAUAGAGGURAUUUUUAAAGAUWARGKUWAUUUUUCUGGGGSGGKNGGRCAAAAACUARUUAARAUCCAAAAUUUUUGAUURUUUGUUUAAAUUACUGUAGGGAUAACAGCGUAAUCUUAUUUGAGAGUUCAUAUCGACAAUAAGGGUUGCGACCUCGAUGUUGGAUUAGAAUUCCUUCUUGGAGCAGAAUCUAAGAGAGGGGGUCUGUUCGACCAUUAAAAUUCUACA